rnacentral:tRNA from 1 species
GCCGGCGUGGCGGAAUGGCAGACGCAGUAGACUCAAAAUCUACCGUAGGUAACUAUGUGUGAGUUCAAGUCUCACCGCCGGCA